UACAGAGGGUGCAAGCGUUAAUCGGAAUUACUGGGCGUAAAGCGUGCGUAGACGGUUAUUUAAGUCAGGUGUGAAAGCCCCGGGCUCAACCUGGGAACUGCAUUUGUGACUGCAUCGCUGGAGUGCGGCAGAGGGGGAUGGAAUUCCGCGUGUAGCAGUGAAAUGCGUAGAUAUGCGGAGGAACACCGAUGGCGAAGGCAAUCCCCUGGGCCGGCACUGACGCUGAUGCACGAAAGCGUGGGGAGCAAACAGG
rnacentral:rRNA from 1 species